rnacentral:SRP_RNA from 3 species
CGGCAGGUCUUACACGACCAGCUCCUGCUGAACCUCCCCAGGGCAGGAAUGCAGCAAGGAUAAGUGGUUGAGCGGUGCGAUGUGAGUAGCCUGCCAUUU